rnacentral:lncRNA from 1 species
UCUUUUGGGAGAAAUUUUUAAGUGUCACGGGAUGACCACGUGGCAGUCUGACGUGGUUCUACAUUCCAAUCAAAUUUAGACAUGUGGAAUUUUUACAACUAAAAUAUUAACUAAUAUUUUCUACUUUUUGUGAAAUGACAUUCAUGGGUAUUUAGCAAGUUCAACCUAGGAUUUAGGGUUUAGAGUUUAGGGUUAGGGUUUAAGGUAUAGGGUUUAAGGGUUUAGGGUUUAGGGUUUAGGGAUUAGGGUUUAGUAUUUAAAAAACAACAUAAAACCCAAAAUAGUCUUUGACAAAAUAGCUGAAAUGAUUUUUCAUGAAGAAAAUCCACAUGUCUAAAUUUAAUUGGAAUGUAGGACCACGUCAGACUGCCACGUGGUCCUCCCGUAGCACUGAAAAAUUUCUCCUCUUUUGGACAAGAGAGAUACCAUGCAUUAGGUCUUAGUGACUCUUUGUUGCUAUCAUUUUUGGAAAGGAGAAACUGGAAACUAAUUCUAAAAUCGGUAACUAGGUAUAAAUAAUGUAAAGUUAGGGUUUAUGAAAUUAGUAAUAAAGUGCACAAACAUAUAUAAAGUUAAGGCUUGCUUUAAGAGUUUCACACAAUUAAGAAAGUUGGAUGCACUCAUUUCUCGCCGAACAAUUUUAUUAUAUACCUACAUUCAAAACAUGGAUCCUGAUAUUUUCUGCAAAUAAAGAUUUCAAGAAUCGACAUUAACGAUCACUCAUCGCUAACUAAUUCACUAUCAUCAAUCCGGUAUUGAGGAGCAGGUAAUGGCCAAAUAGUCGUGGUGGGUGGGAGAUGUUCAUCACACUAGCGAAGUGUAAACCAUAAAAAUCUAAAGCCAAUCAAAGAUCACCUUGCUUGAUAAGGUCUCCUUGUAGCCAAGGGAACAUAAAUAGCAUAAACCAGGAUGAAAUAGACUAAUCAGAAAAGGGUGGAUUAUAGGGUUGUGUGGUAACUCACACAUGUGGCAGGUCCCGCCGGGCACGUGAACAACCUUUCGAUAUCUUAUCCCCUCACGGCUUGAUUGGGAAGGGUCACGUCGAGGUUUGGGACCUUCACUCUCACUCCGGUCUGGCACCGUGUGUGUGAGAUUAAACUUUAAUAGAACCCACCGUAAAGUGGUCCACCCAGACUCCGGUUGCUCGAGUUGGCAAGGGUUGAGAGUGAUUGGGAGGAGGGCAUGGAAAUCAUGCCGCCAUGUCGCGGUAUAAAAGCAUAGGUUGAGAGUCAAUUAUUCGACACCCCUAAUACAGUGAUAAAUGUCGGUAAUAAGUAUAGUCCUCACUAUAUGCAUACAAUGAUUAUAAGUAUAAGGGCGCAAUGAUUAAGUGGGUGAGUAAAUAUAAAUAUAAAAUCAGGUAAUCAUGACGACUUACCACGCAAGUUACGUGCUACUUGUUACGCAAGUAGGCGAUCAUAUAAAUCGUAGGCUUCACAACCAGGUAAAGUCAUCUUAUAAUCGAUCAAUUAAGAAAAAGACUAACUUAAUUAAGAAAAAGACUAACUUAAGUGUCAGAAAGUUUUCUGUAGGUAUCCUCCCGAAGAGAGAUUCAGGUUGGCCAAGACUGACAUUGAACUAAGGAAAGUAUCGGGGCGACCAUGGCCCGAGUAAAGAAUGUUUAGCUUUCUACCAAGUUUAGUCGCUUCAGAGCAUCUUUACCAGACUCUUAAUCUUGUCUUUGUAGAUAUUUUGAAGAGCAUAUUUGUCACAUCCCGACCCUUAUAUUUUUACCUUAUUUACUAGCUUGAUUAUAAUAAGAAUUUUACCGUCCCCGUCAUUGAGGUAAUAGUUUAAUUGGUCCCUAGAGGUAUUUUAAGGGACGAUUAAUUUCGGGGAAUUAUUCGUGGGAGAAAAUAUGACGACGGUAAAAAUGGUAAAUCUUAGCUAGUAAAAGGUAAUUUUUAUUCGGGUAUUAUUUUUCGGGGUGUUUUAUUUUUGGAAUUGGGUUGUUAUAAGCUUGGACCGGUUUGGGGUGUGAGGCCCAANNNNNNNNNNNNNNNNNNNNNNNNNNNNNNNNNNNNNNNNNNNNNNNNNNNNNNNNNNNNNNNNNNNNNNNNNNNNNNNNNNNNNNNNNNNNNNNNNNNNNNNNNNNNNNNNNNNNNNNNNNNNNNNNNNNNNNNNNNNNNNNNNNNNNNNNNNNNNNNNNNNNNNNNNNNNNNNNNNNNNNNNNNNNNNNNNNNNNNNNNNNNNNNNNNNNNNNNNNNNNNNNNNNNNNNNNNNNNNNNNNNNNNNNNNNNNNNNNNNNNNNNNNNNNNNNNNNNNNNNNNNNNNNNNNNNNNNNNNNNNNNNNNNNNNNNNNNNNNNNNNNNNNNNNNNNNNNNNNNNNNNNNNNNNNNNNNNNNNNNNNNNNNNNNNNNNNNNNNNNNNNNNNNNNNNNNNNNNNNNNNNNNNNNNNNNNNNNNNNNNNNNNNNNNNNNNNNNNNNNNNNNNNNNNNNNNNNNNNNNNNNNNNNNNNNNNNNNNNNNNNNNNNNNNNNNNNNNNNNNNNNNNNNUUCCGAAGUUUGGUAUUUUUGGCGGUUAAUUAAUGUAGAAUCCGUCCGUAGGAUUUAAGUCGUAUUUUGGGGAGGUUGUAUUUACGACUGUCGAGUAUGAUAUUUAAGUUCGGAUCGUUUCGAUUUAAGAAUAUCGAAGUUAGGCAAUGAUGAGCGUAUUUAUGGCUCUCGGGUAAUUUUGCCUAUUUUGAUUAAAUAUUGGAUUGUUAGUUGGGAAAUUAAUAUUAUAUUUGGAACAGGACGUGAGGAGGCUCGAGCAGACGAGGCCCCAGAUCGACAUCAGGCUUAGGCCUAAUUUGUGACUGGACUUUUGUUUUAAAUAAAAUGCAUGCUAGAGUUCAUGGUUGAACAAUAUUUGUUGCGGAAUAUUUUGACGUCAUUUUAAUUUGACGAAUUUUAUUUCUCUUGGAGAGUUACCGAAAAUGGGAUUUUCGGUGGAUAUAAAUAUGUAUUUAUGAGAGAGUAUGUAUAUAAAAUGCGAGCUAGCCAUAUGUGUCUGUCCACCUUAAUGGCGUAGUGUAGCACCGCAUUAAGGCAUGACGUGAGCGUUGGAAGCGAGCGUAGUAGCCCUAUAUAGACCCAUGAAUUUAUAUAGGGAGUAUGGACGAGUGUAAAUACAUACAUAUAUUUUAGAGUCUGAGAGGCUCGAUAUUUUAUGAGAUAAAGGUUUUAUCGCUUGCGGUAUGCAUUCGAUUUUUUCCUUAGAAAUUAAUUUGGGGAAACAUAAAUAUUUUAUUUAUUAUUUUAUUUUUGUCCACUCACUCUAACGUUAUUAAAUGUUUUCCCCUGGGCCCUUCGUUUUAAAUUGCCCAGUCUGCAGAGUUCGGGUUGAAUCUAGUAGGAGGCGAGGCAUAGUCACCUGCAUUUCAGCCAGUUUUCAUCAGUAGGUUACAUGUUUAACCUACUCGUGUUUUCUUGCUUCCGCUAGUGUCUAGUAGCUCUGAAUACUUUGGGAUUAUUGUAUAUUAUGUUUAGAAUUUCUGAAGGAUAAUUAUGUGAUGUUUGGACGUGUUGUAUUAAGAGUGUAAUUUGGAAUUUUCGAGUUAGGGUUGUCCAUUUUCAAGGGAGAUUUUAGAAUUCUUCUCAGUAAAUUUUCCUUGGAGGUGGUCCCCGCACGACUUACUCCGGGUUUCAGGGUGAAAUUCGGGGUGGGUCAUGUCAGUUGGUAUCAGAGCUAUAGGUUUCCUUUUCCUGCUUCCUUGUCACUAUCAUAUUUGCCUAUGUAGCAGGUAGUGUCUAUAGAGUGAUGAUCCGACCGCGGCGGAUUCAUUGGCAUUUUAUGGUUUUGAUGCUUUGUGUUAUUGAGUAUGUGUGAUUGUUGUGUUAGUCUUGUUUAUGGACUACUAAAUUUCUUCUUCCUCAGGUACUAUGCCUUCUAAGCGCCCACGGCAACCCCGUGUGGCUACUUUGACCAAUGCCGAUGAGGGCAAUGAGGUCAGGGGACUGGUUGAUGAUAUUGGAAAUAUGCUGAGGGAUGUUAUAGAUCGAGCUCCACACCCUCAUACAGUGAAGAGGAGAGAAGUUUAUGAGGCUGGAGCAAGAGAGUUCAAGGGUGCCAAGGGACCCCUUGAUGCUUAUACUUGGGUAGACAAAAUGGAAAAGGCUUUUGCGAGCACAUAUUUGCCAGAAGAAAGGAAGGUGAAGAUGGCAGUGACUUUCCUGGAUGAUUCAGCACAUCACUGGUGGUCGCUCGCUAGCAGGAAUGUUGAGGAUGCUUUGAAUAUGUCGUGGGAGCAGUUUAAGACGCUUUUCUUGAGGCAGUAUUUCAGUCCUGCCCACCGUAGCAGAAUUCAGUCGGAUUUCCUGAAUAUGAAGAAGAGGGAUGAUGAGGGUGUUAUAGAGUUCCAGGAGAGAUUCACUUCCCUGAGUUACCAUGUGUCUAUCUGGUUCCUGAUGAGAGGACCAGGAUAGAGAUGUUCAUUGGGGCACUUGGUGGAGUGUUUGUAGAUAAGAUGACGGGUGUUUAUUACCCGACUUUUCCUGAUGCUGUUCAUGCAGCCAUGACCAUUGAGUCUAUGGGGAUUUAUAGUGCUCGGCCACGAGAUUUCGGUGGCCCCAAUCAGGGUCCAUCCAAGAAAGCUGUUUCAUCAUCCGCUUCAGGUUCUUCAGCUGGUAGUGGCAGUAGUGGGGGAUCAGGUUCUAAUUCUCGGUUCAGGGUUAGAGGACGUCACAGGAGACCUGCUAGGAGUCAGUUAGGUAGGCAGCAGUCUGGGCAGUAUGAUUCUGGUGGUAGCUUCCAUGGUGGGUCAUCUGGUAGCCAGACUUUUUCUUAUGGGCAGCAGCAGCAGUUUUCUGGGUGCUUUGAGUUUGGUGGUCAGGACCACUUCAGGAGAGAUUGCCCAUUGUUGGCUCAGAGGACCACUCCCACCCCUACUCAGCCUGUUGGUCAGUCUUCAGCUUGAGGCUCUAGUAGUGGUGCCCAGGGCAGUGCUUCGGUCAGAGGUGGCUCUCAGCGGGGAAGUGGUCAGCGUGGACGUCCCAUGACUCGCGCUAGACUGCAUGCUAUGACCCAGCAGGAGGGUCGUACUUCUCCAGAUGUCAUCAUUGGUACGUUAUUAAUUUUUGGUCAGCCUGCUUUUACUUUAAUUGAUCCCGGAGCCACGCAUUCAUUCAUGUCUAGUAGAUUUGCCCUCCAUGCCAAUGUGCCAUCAUCGUCUCUUCCAGGCGAGUGGCAUGUAUCUCUACCAUCCGGUGAGGUGAUGAGAAUAAAUUGGGUAUUUAGUGGUUGUGAAGUUUUAGUGGAAGGAGUUAAUUUCGAGGCUGAUUUAAUUCCUUUAGAUAUAGUGGAGUUUGAUGUGAUCUUGGGAAUGGACUUUUUGGAAGCAUAUAGAGCUAUGGUAGAUUGUUUUCAAAAAGUAGUGGUGCUUCGAAGUCUAGAUGGUUUUGAGGUUACUUUCCAAGGGGAAAGAGAUGUUAUUUCUAGUUGUAUAAUUUCCGCUGUUGCUGUAAGGAAAUUGUUGAGUAAAGGCUGUCAGGCAUAUUUAGCUCAUGUGGUGGAUACAAGUAUGGGAGUUGUGGGAUUAGAAGAUAUUCCAGUAGUAAGGGAGUUUCCGGAUGUUUUUCCUGAGGAGUUGCCUGGUUUGCCUCCUGCAAGGGAGAUAGACUUCUCUAUAGAAUUACUUUCUGGAACCAUGCCUAUCUCUCAGGCACCUUACAGAAUGGCUCCAGCGGAAUUGAAAGAGUUGAAGACUCAAUUGCAGGAGUUGAUAGAUAAGGGUUUUAUUCGGCCUAGCAUUUCUCCAUGGGGUGCUCCAGUGUUGUUUGUUAAGAAGAAAGAUGGCACCAUGAGACUAUGCAUUGAUUAUAGAAAGUUGAAUCAGGUCACAGUGAAGAAUAAAUAUCCGUUGCCUCGUAUCGAUGAUUUAUUUGAUCAGUUGAGGGGUGCCUCUGUUUUCUCUAAGAUUGAUUUGAGAUCGGGUUAUCAUCAGUUGCGGAUCCGAGAGGGGGACAUAACCAAGACUGCUUUUCGGUCACGAUAUGGUCAUUAUGAGUUUGUGGUGAUGCCUUUUGGACUUACUAAUGCACCCGCGGCGUUCAUGGAUCUCAUGAAUAGAGUGUUUAGUCCAUACCUUGAUCGUUUCGUGAUCGUAUUCAUAGAUGACAUAUUGGUUUACUCAAGAAGUGAGAAGGAGCAUGCCAAGCAUCUAAGAAUAAUAUUGCGGGCUUUGGAAAAGUCACAGUUAUUUGCUAAGUUUAGCAAGUGUGAGUUUUGGCUAGAUAAAGUGGGGUUUUUGGGUCAUGUGAUUUCGGCAGAAGGAGUUAGUGUGGAUCCCCAAAAGGUGGAAGCAGUGUCGAAUUGAAGAAGACUCACCACUGUGACGGAGAUUCGUAGUUUCUUGGGAUUAGCAGGUUAUUAUCGGCGCUUUGUGAAAGAUUUUUCAAAGAUUACUGCUCCUCUGACAAGAUUGACCAAGUAGGGGGUUAAGUUUGAAUGGUCAGAUCAAUGUGAGCAAAGUUUCCAAGAAUUGAAGAAUUGCUUAACAAGUGCUCCUGUUUUGGCACUUCCGGAUGAUAGUGGAGAGUAUGUGGUCUAUUGUGAUGCUUCUAGACGUGGUCUAGGUGGAGUUUUGAUGCAGCAUGAUCGAUUUAUUGCCUAUGCUUCUAGGCAAUUGAAGCCGCAUGAGGGGAAUUAUCCUACCCAUGAUUUGGAGCUUGCAGCGGUAGUUUUUGCUUUCAAGUUGUGGAGACACUAUCUUUAUGGAGCCAAGUGUCAGAUUUUUACCGAUCACAAGAGUCUUCGGUAUGUAUUCACUCAAAGAGAGCUAAAUAUGAGACAGAGAAGGUGGAUGGAGUUAAUCAACGAUUAAGAUUGAACUAUUGAGUAUCACCCUGGAAAAGUUAAUGUGGUAGCUGAUGCUCUUAGUCGAAAUCCCUCCAUAUCUUUAUCUCAUAUAAAGAUGGUUCGUGUUCCGCUUCUUUGUGAGUUGCGAGCUACAGGAGUGGAUUUGUCAGUAGAUGAGGUUGGUGCUUUGAUAGCCAGUUUUCAUGUGAGGCCAGUUUUGGUUGAUAGAGUGCGGGAAGCACAGUAUAAUGAUCCUUCCAUAGUUCAAUUGAUGGAAAGAGCUUCGAAUGGAGCCGCAGCCGAUCAUUUUUCCGUUAGAAGAGAUGGGACUCUAUUGUUUAAGAACCGGCUAUGUGUUCCAAAAAGAAUGAAGAGUUGAAGAGUGAGAUUAUAGAGGAAGCUCAUAGCUCUGCAUAUGCUGCUCAUCCGGGUAGCACAAAAAUGUAUCGGAUUUUGAAGGAUUAUUAUUGGUGGCCAAACAUGAAGAGGGAAAUUGCAGCUUUUGUGAGUAGAUGUCUGGUUUGUCAGCAAGUAAAAGUUGAAAGGCAGAAGCCUUCUGGAUUGCUUGAGCCGUUGCUUAUUCCAAUGUGGAAGUGGGACCACAUCACCAUGGAUUUUGUUUUUAGUUUACCUCGUACCCGUGAUGGGCAUGACGGUAUUUGGGUGAUUAUGGAUAGACUCACCAAGUCUGCACAUUUCUUGCCAGUGGGAAAGAAGUAUAAAUUGGAUAAAUUGGCGGAGCUUUAUGUGAAUGAAAUUGUGAGGCUUCAUGAUGUUCCUGAAUCAAUAGUGUCAGAUCGGGAUCCUCGAUUUGCUUCUAAAUUAUGGGGAGCUCUUCAGGCAGCUUUAGGUACCCAAUUACUCUUCAGCACUGCUUUUCAUCCUCAGACUGAUGGGCAGUCCGAGAGGACUAUUCAGACUUUGGAAGAUAUGUUGAGGGCUUGUGCCAUGCAGUUCAGAGGGAGUUGGGAUAAAAACCUAUCUUUGAUGGAAUUUGCCUAUAAUAAUAGCUAUCAUUCUAGCAUUGGUAUGGCUCCCUUUGAGGCUCUUUAUGAGAGGCAGUGUCGUACGCCUUUGUGUUGGAAUGAAAUGGGGGAAAAAGAGCUUUGUGGCCCAGAGUUAAUCCAUGUUACGAAUGAGAAGAUUAAAGUGGUUAGAGAUAGACUCAAGACUGCUCAAAGUAGGCAGAAGAGUUAUGCAGAUGUCCGUAGGAGAGAUCUUGAAUUUCAAGUGGGUGAUUGGGUGUUCCUGAAAUUAUCUCCUUGGAAAGGGGUUGUGCGCUUCGGUAAGCGUGGGAAGUUUAGUCCGAGGUAUAUUGGCCCUUAUGAGAUUAUAGAGCGAGUUGGCUCACUUGCUUAUCGGCUACUUUUGCCUUCAGAGUUAGCUAGGAUAGAUAAUGUGUUUCAUGUAUCCAUGCUUCGCAAGUAUAUUGCCGAUCCUUUUCAUGUGCUGCAAGAGCAGCCGAUCGGUUUGGCGAGAGAUUUGACCUAUGAAGAGGAACCGGUUCAGAUUCUCGAUCGAAAGGAGCAAAUGCUUAGGAACAAGACAAUUCCGCUUGUCAAGGUGCUUUGGAGAAGUCAUCAAGUAGAAGAAGCUACUUGGGAAUCAGAGGAGGAAAUGAUGCAGCAGUAUCUCUAUCUCUUCGGAUGAAAAGUAUGUAAAUUUCGAGGACAAAAUUUUUAUAAGGAGGGGAGAAUUGUCACAUCCCGACCCUUAUAUUUUUUACCUUAUUUACUAGCUUGAUUAUAAUAAGAAUUUUACCGUCCCCGUCAUUGAGGUAAUAGUUUAAUUGGUCCCUAGAGGUAUUUUAAGGGACGAUUAAUUUCGGAGAAUUAUUCGUGGGAGAAAAUAUGACGACAGUAAAAAUGGGAAAUCUUAGCUAGUAAAAGGUAAUUUUUAUUCGGGUAUUAUUUUUCGGGGUGUUUUAUUUUUGGAAUUGGGUUGUUAUAAGCUUGGACCGGUUUGGGGUGUGAGGCCCAAACCCAUUUUCUCUUUUCUCUCUUUUCUUCCCGGUUCUCUCUCUCUCUCUCCCAAUUUCUUCCUCCUGCUGCCCGGUUUUCCGGCCGUCCUCCUGCCGCCGUCCGGCCACCAGCUGCCGCCGCUCCAGCCCAGUUCGGAGCCCCGCCACCUCCUCUCCCUUCCCGGCCUUAGUGCCCCCACCAGUAACGCCGCCGAGCGGGAGUUUUCCCUCCGAAGACGCCGGACUAUCUUUUGCCGGAACUUCCUCCUCCGGCCACCAAAACCGGCGAUCCUUGGCUCGUUUUGUAGCCCUCCUCCCGUGCAGCAACCCCUCCAAACAGCUCACCCUCUCUUGAGCUAGGUAAGGAGAAAUGUGAAGUUGAAAUUCUAUAGCGUUUUUGAUGUUUCUGUUCGAUUGGCAUAGCUAGGCUUGGAUUUUGGGUUUGUGUUAGUUAGGAAAGUUGUAGAGCAUGAUGAGAGGAAGAUGCUGUCAAAAUUUCAUAGGUUUUGGAGGUCACCGGAAUCGGCCUCUGGCCGCCGCUGCCGGCGCCGCCGCGGUUUGGGAGAAUUUUUAGGGUUUUAAAUGUGGAAUAUUAAGGGGAUUAUAUUGAUGUGAUUUAUGGAAUUUUUGGAUGAGAUUUGGAUAGGUUUGUGAAUUUCCGAAGUUUGGUAUUUUUGGCGGUUAAUUAAUGUAGAUCCGUCGUAGGAUUUAAGUCGUAUUUUGGGGAGGUUGUAUUUACGACUGUCGAGUAUGAUAUUUAAGUUCGGAUCGUUUCGAUUUAAGAAUAUCGAAGUUAGGCAAUGAUGAGCGUAUUUAUGGCUCUCGGGUAAUUUUGCCUAUUUUGAUUAAAUAUUGGAUUGUUAGUUGGGAAAUUAAUAUUAUAUUUGGAACAGGACGUGAGGAGGCUCGAGCAGACGAGGCCCCAGAUCGACAUCAGGCUUAGGCCUAAUUUGUGACUGGACUUUUGUUUUAAAUAAAAUGCAUGCUAGAGUUCAUGGUUGAACAAUAUUUGUUGCGGAAUAUUUUGACGUCAUUUUAAUUUUACGAAUUUUAUUUCUUUUGGAGAGUUACCGAAAAUGAGAUUUUCGGUGGAUAUAAAUAUGUAUUUAUGAGAGAGUAUGUAUAUAAAAUGUUAGCUAACCAUAUGUGUCUGUCCACCUUAAUGGCGUAGUGUAGCACCGCAUUAAGGCGUGACGUGAGCGUUGGACACGAGCGUAGUAGCCCUAUAUAGACUCAUGAAUUUAUAUAGGGAGUAUGGACGAGUGUAAAUACAUACAUAUAUUUUAGAGUCUGAGAGGCUCGAUAUUUUAUGAGAUAAAGGUUUUAUCGCUUGCGGCAUGCAUUCUAUUUUUUCCUUAGAAAUUAAUUUGGGGAAACAUAAAUAUUUUAUUUAUUAUUUUAUUUUUGUCCACUCACUCUAACGUUAUUAAAUGUUUUCCCCUGGGUCCUUAGUUUUAAAUUGCCCAGUCUGCAGAGUUCGGGUUGUGUAAUACUCCGUACCUAAAAGGGUACUGUUCGGGGUUAUGGGUUACUACAGAUUUUUUUUAUUCGCGCUCGGAGAUUUAAAUAGUGAUUGCUUGAGUUUGUUUUCGAGUUUUUCUGAAAACGGUAAAUAGUGGAUUUAAAAUUCUGAAGUCGUGGUACACGUUUAUACGAGCUCAUCGGGUGCCCGGAUUAUUUUCCGGAGCGACGAGCUAUGUUCUUUGAAUUUAUGAAGUUACAGUAAAUUUUCAAUUAUUGUUUCUUGUGACCGGUUUACUGUAAAGGAUCCAAAGGUUGACUUUUCGUUCAGUCGAUAAUUUUGGAAAACUUCCUUCAUGGAAGUCGUAGAAGACGUUAAUACGAGUUCUUGGACACGUGACACACUCAAAUCGGAGUUUGUAUGAGAAAAUUAUAUAUGGUCUAAAAAACGGAAAGUUUCUAUUUCGGUAAAGGGUUAAAAAAAAAGAAAAAAAAAGAAAAAGAGAGAGGAAGGUUCUAGAGGGAUCGGUUAAACCGACCUAAGCAAAAAAAAUUAAAAGAGGAAAGGAAGGUUCGGGAGAAGGGGGAGAAGAAAGAAUUCAGACCCAGACGGGUCAUUCUCGACCCGAAUGGAGUGGACGGGUCAACCCGACUUUUUCUUUGUUCUCCGGAGGUGGCACGGCGAAAGAUUCUUGGCGGUGGCUUCCUCUCGUCCUUCCCGACCUCCCUGUGAUUCCAGUUUGAAGAGUGGAGCUCUGGAGAAGAAGAAUCGAAGAAGGAGAAGAGAGACUGGGUUGGCCGGCGAAUCUUCGAUUCCAGCAACGGCGACGCCUCUCACUGGUAUGGAUAGCUUCAUUUCGAUCUCAGGAACCUUUCCAUGUUCCUGGUUUUCGAAGAGAAGCUCGGAGGAGGGAGAAUCGAAGAGAAGAAGUUUUAGGAUUUUCCGGCGACGGUUUGAUGCUUUCCGGCCACCGGUGAAGACAAGUGAGGUAUGAAACUUGAUCAUCUCGUCGAGCUCUACCUUUUUAUAUAAUUGGAAUUGAGAUUGGUUGAAGUUUGGAGGAAGUUGGGUUUUGGCAGAGGAGGACCGCCGUGAGUGCCGCUGUGCACGGCGGCGGCGGUGGUGAUUUUGGGCUGCCUUAGUUCAUUGGUUUUAUGGAACUACUUUCUGAAAUUAAAUUGAUGAUUAUGAUGUUUUUGGAAUUGGUCAAUUUGUGGAGAUGGCAGACAUCGUUUACUGCAGUAUUCUUGGUUAUUUUGUGUUUGAUUAUAUUCAGCAGUUAUGAAUCUGUGUGUAUGAUUAUGACUGCUAUAUAUGUUGGAGUUCCAUGAAUUUGAGAAUUUGGAAACAGUGGGAUUCCGGCAGUGAAGUGACUAUUCACAGUGGUGACUAUGGUGUUGUUGUGUUUAAUUUCAGCUGUUGUGAAUUGAAGAAUUAGGAUCAUUUGCAGGGUGUGUUGAUCAUAAUAGACAUGUUUUUUUGGAAUUAGAAUAGUUGGGUUGUGGAGGAAGUUUGAAGUUGCUGUACUGGAUUCAUUUAUUUUAUUCCUUGUUAAUUUGGUUAAGUUGUUGGUCAACAAGAAGAAGAUGGGGUAGUGAUUAUACUUAAAUUUGGAUUUAGUAUAAUGUCAGGAAAGUUGAUGAGUGGUGGUUAUGGGUGUCCAUAGUAAAAAAAAUCAGAGAUAGGUUAAUAAUUGAAGUGUUGAUAUGAGCAAGUCUAAAGGUGAAUUGGAAUGUGAUAAUGAAGUUAAUAUGAGCGAGCACGGUAUGUAAUUACGAAACUAUCGGAGGAAGUGAGAGGAAGUGUGGGAUUGAGAACUUGGGUGUCCUUAUUAAUUUGAGGACUUACAUCCACACAAAUUCCAGAUUCGAUAAAGUUGUUAUUGAAGGUGGAGAAUUAGUAUAAAAUGCUAAACUACGAGUGGCUUGAUCCCUUUAAAAGGGUACGUAGGCAGCCCGAUCAAGUUUUGGGUGCAGCCGCAAAUUAACAAAAUAAAUUUUAAGUUCCAAACGCGACAAAAAUGUUUGUCGUUUUGUUUGAUUAUGAGAUCCUAUCUCAUUUUGGAAUUAGGAUUUCCUUAUUUAUUUUAUUCGUUUAUAUUUUUAACACCUGGGUCAGGGUGUUACAGGUUGGAUCUAGUAGGAGGCGAGGCAUAGUCACCCGCAUUUCCGCCAGUUUUCAUCAGUAGGAGGCGAGGAUCAAGUUGAUUUUUCUCCGUUUUAAUGUGUACUUAUGGUCUUGGAGAUAUUGUUUUGCAAGCUUACUACCCCCAGUAUAAGUUUACUGGGGAUAAUAAACUUUAUUUUUUCGCAUCUAGGUUGUUCUUCCUCUGUUUUAGUGUGUAUUAUGGCAUUGAAAAUAUUUUUUUUGCAAGUUUAGUACCCCUAAUAAAAGUUACUGGGGGUAGUAAACUUUAGUUUUUCCAAUCUAAAUUGUUCUUCCUCUGUUUUAGUGUGUAUUAUAGUCUUGAAAAUACUGUUUUGCAAGUUUACUACCCCCAGUAAAAGUUUACUAGGGGUAGUAAAUUUUAUUUUUUUGUCAUCUAAGUUGAUUUUUCUCCGUUUUAAUGUGUACCUAUAGCCUUGGAGAUAUUAUUUUGCAAGAUUACUACCCCCAGUAAGAUGUUUACUAGGGGUGGUAGACUUUAUUUUUUUUCUUAUAUGUUGAUUUUUUUCUCUCCUU